UCUGUAUCUACUCCACCUUUCUAUUAUGCGUUAGAAUAUUUAAUCAAUAUAAUGCGGAAUGCAAAUGCAUAUGACUAGGAAUGAAUCAAUCUACACAAGUGAGGUAUCACACUGUAAAAUUCACUACCCGACCGAUUCUGAAUGGGAACUUGUGAUGCCUGGAGUCGUGGGCGCAUCGCGUGUAGAAGGAGAGGGAGGUCACGAGGAAGAGGGACGGACACAGCAGGGAAGGCAGGACAGCGACUUGGAAGCGAAGCUGCUCUUGCUCUUGUCCUUCUCCUUCCCCGUCGUCGUCGGCUUCACCGUGGGGAUGUGGGAGCCGUCCUCGCCGCCGCGGUCCUUGCAUUUCUCGCACUCGUCCAAGAAGGCCUUGAAGGCGUCGACGCAGUACCUGGCCGCCUCCGCCACCGUCAUGCCCUCGACGAGCCCUUGCGGGUACGACUCCUUGGUGUGGUCGCCGUUGAGCACCGCGGCGAGCUGCACCAGCUCCUCCUGGAACUCGGACAGC
rnacentral:misc_RNA from 1 species